GUCAAUUUCUGUGCUCUGCAUGUGUCCUGGUCAUGCAUGUUCCCUGUGGCUACUUUCUAGCAUAUGAAGAUAUCUGUGUGGUUCCUGUGUGGCCCACACAUAAAUCCUUCCCGCUGAGUGUGUAUGGAUCAAUGGGAGAAUGAACUCAAGGUUUAUGGGGAAGAAAAUCAGUAAAAUGAAUUGGUGAGGACCCAAGAAUUACGGUUCAGAGAGGAUUCUGACCUAAAACUUGUCAAAGGGCUCAAAGAUUUUUUUGGUCUUCUAUGAAAUUUAAAGGGAAAGAAUAAAAAGAGAACUCAGUAAUGGUCUAUGGAGGAAAGGUACAAGAUCUAUAGGAUGACUUUCCUAGAUGAGAAGAGUGCUGGAGCAAGUCCCAUGCCAAUAUUCCUGAAGAGACCCCAGCUUUUUGGUUGCCCCACUUUAGGUCCAGUUUUCUUCCUCACUCUCCUGGUUGUGGAACAUGUUGGAAGCUCACAUCCCAUUCGUGAGGGCCUGCAGCUGUAAGGGUUCCUGCUCCAAAGGGAGCAAGAUCUACCUG
rnacentral:lncRNA from 1 species